CCUACGGGAGGCAGCAGUGGGGAAUCUUGGACAAUGGGGGCAACCCUGAUCCAGCGACGCCGCGUGACCGAGGAAGGCCCUCGGGUCGUAAAGGUCUUUCAGCGGGGACUAUGGUGAAGGUACCCGCAGAAGAAGCCCCGGCUAACUCCGUGCCAGCAGCCGCGGUAAUACGGAGGGGGCUAGCGUUGCUCGGAAUCACUGGGCGUAAAGCGAGCGUAGGCGGCCGCGCAAGUCGGGGGUGAAAGCCCGGGGCUCAACCCCGGAACUGCCCUCGAAACUGCGUGGCUAGAGGCCGGGAGAGGAGAGUGGAAUUCCCAGUGGAGAGGUGAAAUUCGCAGAUAUUGGGAGGAACACCGGUGGCGAAAGCGGCUCUCUGGAACGGUUCUGACGCUGAGGCUCGAAAGCGUGGGGAGCAAACAGGAUUAGAUACCCUGGUAGUCCACGCCGUAAACGAUGGGUGCUAGAUGUCGGGAGGAUAUCUCUCGGUGUCGCGGCUAACGCAUUAAGCACCCCGCCUGGGAAGUACGGUCGCAAGACUAAAACUCAAAGGAAUUGACGG
rnacentral:rRNA from 1 species